rnacentral:misc_RNA from 1 species
GUAUAAUUGCCCUAUUAACUGCUUUUUUCUUCCAGACGAUACUCAUUAACUUGUUCCUUUCUCGUAUGUCCUUUGGGAGAAUGCUUUCGAGGUUGUUUCUUGAAGCAACUCUGUGGAAGCAUAGUUGAGCAUAUUUAGGUCUCUACCAUGUUGGUUUAGUUGGUCUGCUUUAAGAUGUCUUUCAAUUAAAAAGUGCAAUACAUUUAAAAUUGUGUCAUGCCACACUGCGGCAGUUUAGAACUUGGGAUGCAUUUCGCCAAUUCUGACGUAUAAAAUUUAAGAUACUAAAUUAAACAAAAUGAUAUUCUGAAUGAUACAAAUAAUUCACCUAAAAUGCUUUUCUUGGUUUGUCUCGACUCAAUUUUCCUUUCCAGAAACCAAUCGUCUUUGACAAAUCUUAUUCUUUUGUCAUGCUUGGUUGCCUAAAAAUAAAGUUCCAAAAUUAUUCCUCUUGUAUUGUAUCUGUUG